rfam:Oryza nivara chromosome 5, whole genome shotgun sequence.
GUCGAUAUGUCCGAGUGGUUAAGGAGGUAGACUCGAAAUCUACUGGGCUCUGCCCGCGCAGGUUCGAAUCCUGCUGUCGACG